AUUGAACGCUGGCGGCAGGCCUUACACAUGCAAGUCGAACGGUAACGCGGGGCAACCUGGCGACGAGUGGCGAACGGGUGAGUAAUACAUCGGAACGUGCCCAGUAGUGGGGGAUAGCCCGGCGAAAGCCGGAUUAAUACCGCAUACGACCUACGGGUGAAAGCGGGGGAGCGCAAGACCUCGCGCUAUUGGAGCGGCUGAUGUCAGAUGAGCUAGUUGGUGGGGUAAAAGCCUAACAAGGAGACGAUCUGUAGCUGGUCCGAGAGGACGACCAGCCACACUGGGACUGAGACACGGCCCAGACUCCUACGGGAGGCAGCAGUGGGGAAUUUUGGACAAUGGGGGCAACCCUGAUCCAGCCAUGCCGCGUGCGGGAAGAAGGCCUUCGGGUUGUAAACCGCUUUUGUCGGGGAAGAAACGGUCUGCGCUAAUACCGCGGACUAAUGACGGUACCCGAAGAAUAAGCACCGGCUAACUACGUGCCAGCCGCCGCAGUAAGAC
rnacentral:rRNA from 1 species